GAUGAACGCUGGCGGCGUGCCUAAUACAUGCAAGUCGAGCGAACGGACGAGAAGCUUGCUUCUCUGAUGUUAGCGGCGGACGGGUGAGUAACACGUGGAUAACCUACCUAUAAGACUGGGAUAACUUCGGGAAACCGGAGCUAAUACCGGAUGAUAUUUUGAACCGCAUGGUUCAAAAGUGAAAGACGGUCUUGCUGUCACUUAUAGAUGGAUCCGCGCUGCAUUAGCUAGUUGGUAAGGUAACGGCUUACCAAGGCAACGAUGCAUAGCCGACCUGAGAGGGGGUCCGGCAACACUGGAACUGGGACACGGUCCAGACUCCUACGGGAGGCAGCAGUGGGGAAUCUUCCGCAAUGGGCGAAAGCCUGACGGAGCAACGCCGCGGGAGGGAUGAAGGUCUUCGGAUCGUAAAACUCUGUUAUUAGGGAAGAACAUAUGUGUAAGUAACUGUGCACAUCUUGACGGUACCUAAUCAGAAAGCCACGGCUAACUACGUG
rnacentral:rRNA from 1 species